rnacentral:rRNA from 1 species
UACGUAGGGGGCAAGCGUUGUCCGGAAUUAUUGGGCGUAAAGAGCGCGUAGGCGGUCCGAUAAGUCGGCUGUGAAAGCCAGGGGCUCAACCCUUGAAAGCCGGCCGAUACUGUCGGACUAGAGUCCGGAAGAGGCAAGUGGAAUUCCCGGUGUAGCGGUGAAAUGCGCAGAUAUCGGGAGGAACACCGAUGGCGAAGGCAGCUUGCUGGGACGGUACUGACGCUGAGGCGCGAAAGCGUGGGGAGCAAACAGG